rnacentral:rRNA from 1 species
GGCGGGGUGACCCGCUGAGUUUAAGCAUAUCAAUAAGCGGAGGAGAAGAAACUUACGA